GGGCUCAGGGGCCGAGAGGGAGCUGGGCUUGGGGCGGGGCCGAGACGGAGCGAGGGGUCCAGGGUGUGAGAAACGGGGAGGGGUUUGAGGAGGGGAUUGGAGUGUGGCUCAAGUUCGGGAGGCGUUACCUGCGGAGGGUUUGAGGCAGGCCCAGGAGCGAGCCCACGGUCUGCCGACGCGGGGCCAGCGGCGGGCCCCAGGAUCCGGAGCUUCGGGCGGGGCCGAGUCCAGGCAGGAAUCGGAGUGCCGUAGUACAAUCACAGCUCACUGCAGCCUCAAACUCCUGGGUUCCAGCGAUCCUCCCGCCUCAGCCUCCCCAGUAGCUGGGGCUACAGCCCAGUAAAGGCGCCAUUCCCCAUUUUACAGCUGGGGAAACUGAGUUACAGAGCUUGUCUACACUGAGUCAACAGGAGCAAAUGCUAGAUCAGGUCUAGCUGGAGUACAGUGAUGCAGUCAUAGCCCACUGCAGCCUCAAAAUUCCUGGGCUCAAGCAAUCCACCCACAUCAGCUUCCCAAGUAGUUGGGACUACAGGCCCACACUACUAUACCCAGGGGAGUCCUUGAGCAGAAGGAAGCAAGUUGCCUGAGAUUCUUCAAAGCCCGCAGCCCUUUUGGAGGUAGAAGUUGCUGGUCCCAUCUUGCUCACAAUCCUCCAAAGUUUGAAAGUUAUUUUCCAGGAGACUUGGCUUGCACUGAGAGCUGCCCUCCCACCCUCUCUCCAAAUUUCCUCUUGGGGGUAGCCUAACAAGGUGCUGUCACAGACCCUUGUCGGCCACGAUGACCCCACCCAGACCAUCCCUCUGCUGUUUCACUCUUUGAUAGUCUCUGGAGCUCUCUGGGGAGGGGUGAGACCUGCCGUCUAGUUUGUAUGGUUUGCCCAGGUCUUACAGUCAUGGCUGGCUGCCUCUCUCUGAGAACUAGAACUCCUGAACUUGGUGAAAGACCUCAGCCAUCGAUCAUGUUGAAUUAUCGGGGACACUCAUUUGAAAUCCGAGCCUGUUCCAGAUAGACUCUCUCUCUUUCUGCCCUGACCGUGAGAGAAGCCCUGCUGGACGGUGGAGACACUCGUGGGCUGUGAGCAAGGGAUGCAAAGGCUGCCGGGAAUCCCAUCUUUCCAGCAUCAUCUGCCAAGGCACAUUAGUUCCUGGGUAUCUGGAUGGGUUCUAGCAGCAUUACUGUCAUUGAAGGAAAAAUUUUAGCCAUAUUAAAGGUUAAUGCAGCAAUCUCCACAUAGGCUGCCUGGAAGGGAAGCAGGACAAGGUUAGGUUUUCCUUGUGAUGGACAGGAGGCAGGCGGCCCUCCCACAGCCCUGCCUGGCAAUACAGAUGUGUCCCCAAAAGGCACUGGGGGCCAGCUGGAGUGCUAUGCCGAGGCGGACUGACCCGGGCCGUGGGUUCACUCUGCUGGCAGCGGUUUCCCGCCAGCUCCUUGCAGAGUUGGCAGAUGGCCCAGCCCCACAGCAGGAGCCGGGAAUGGCAGAACGAGACACAACAAUUUGAUAUCCACUUGCCAGAUGAGCCGGGUGUCAUCAGUCGCCUGGCUCUAUGCCCAACCUCUUUUUGCAUAAACACUUAUGGAUUCAGCCAAGAGGAAAAGCACUCUGAUUAUGAAUUGAGCAGAAGGAAACAAAGUUCUGCAGAUAAACACCAAUGAAACAAAAAACCACGAAUAAGAAAAAUGACAGAAAAGGAGAACCUUCCCAGAAUCCUCCUGCCAGUGAACGGUCACCAGAGCAAGAGCAUGGAGUCCCUGGGUUUUGAACUGUGAGAUAAGGAAGAUGAUGAAAACCUCCCUAGCAGCCAGCCAGGUACUAUUCUAGAUUGUCUUGUGAUAUUUACAAUCUAGGAGAAGGCAGGAGAGAGAACUAAGAACAGAGAGCAUGUUCUGAGAUGUCUGCUGUGUUUGCAGAAACUCCUGGAGGGCAGAGCCAUGCCUGCCAUUUUCAUCAUUGCAUUACCACCACCCAGCACAGUGCCUGGUACAAAAGAGUUGCUCAAUAAAUAAAUCAGGAUGAAUGGACAAAUACACGGAUAGGCACUUUGAACUACAGAUGAGCUUAAAUACUUUGUGUUUUUCUUAGUCAAACAUGUGCAAUUAAGCAUGUGAUAAAUUAUAUGAUGACCACA
rnacentral:lncRNA from 1 species